CCCUUAGAUGUUCUGGGCAGGACGCGCGCUACAAUGGUCUUCGCAAACGGAUGCAUUCUCGAAGGAGAAUGCCAAUCUUGGAAUCUAUGCCUUGGUCGGGACAGUUGCUUGCAAUUUUUCGACUCGAACCAGGAAUUCCUUGUAAUCGUGAUUCAUCACAUCACGAUGAAUACGUCCCUGCCCUUUGUACACACCGCCCGUCGCUCCUACCGAUCGAAGAGUUAGGUGAAUUGUUUUGAUCGAUAAGAUUUGACUAUGGUCAACUCUCGUUGUGAAAUUCUGUGAAUCUGACUGUUUAGAGGAAGGAAAAGUCGUAACA
rnacentral:rRNA from 1 species